GACGAACGCUGGCGGCGUGCUUAACACAUGCAAGUCGAACGCUGAAGCUCAGCUUUUGUUGGGUGGAUGAGUGGCGAACGGGUGAGUAACACGUGAGUAACCUGCCCCCUUCUUUGGGAUAACGCCCGGAAACGGGUGCUAAUACUGGAUAUUCACUGGUCUUCGCAUGGGGGUUGGUGGAAAGGGUUUUUCUGGUGGGGGAUGGGCUCGCGGCCUAUCAGCUUGUUGGUGGGGUGAUGGCCUACCAAGGCUUUGACGGGUAGCCGGCCUGAGAGGGUGACCGGUCACAUUGGGACUGAGAUACGGCCCAGACUCCUACGGGAGGCAGCAGUGGGGAAUAUUGCACAAUGGGCGCAAGCCUGAUGCAUCGACGCCGCGUGAGGGAUGGAGGCCUUCGGGUUGUGAACCUCUUUCGCUCAUGGUCAAGCCGCAACAAUGGUUGUGGUGAGGGUAGUGGGUAAAGAAGCGCCGGCUAACUACGUG
rnacentral:rRNA from 1 species